CAACAGGGAUUGCCCUAGUAACGGCGAGUGAAGCGGCAACAGCUCAAAUUUGAAAUCUGGCUCUUUUAGGGUCCGAGUUGUAAUUUGCAGAGGGUGCUUUGGUGUUGGCAGCGGUCUAAGUUCUUUGGAACAGGACGUCACAGAGGGUGAGAAUCCCGUACGUGGUCGCUAGCCCUCGCCGUGUAAAGCCCCUUCGACGAGUCGAGUUGUUUGGGAAUGCAGCUCUAAAUGGGAGGUAAAUUUCUUCUAAAGCUAAAUACUGGCCAGAGACCGAUAGCGCACAAGUAGAGUGAUCGAAAGAUGAAAAGCACUUUGGAAAGAGAGUCAAAUAGCACGUGAAAUUGUUGAAAGGGAAGCGCUUGCAGCCAGACUUGCCUGUAGUUGCUUAUCCGGACUUUUGUCCGGUGCACUCUUCUGCGGGCAGGCCAGCAUCAGUUUAGGCGGUUGGAUAAAGGUCUCUGUCAUGUACCUCUCUUCGGGGAGGCCUUAUAGGGGAGACGACAUGCAACCAGCCUGGACUGAGGUCCGCGCAUCUGCUAGGAUGCUGGCGUAAUGGCUGUAAGCGGCCCGUCUUGAAACACGGACCAAGGAGUCUAACAUCUAUGCGAGUGUUUGGGUGUCAAGCCCAGACGCGUAAUGAAAGUGAACGGAGGUGGGAACCCUUACGGGUGCACCAUCGACCGAUCCUGAUGUCUUCGGAUGGAUUUGAGUAAGAGCAUGGCUGUUGGGACCCGAAAGAUGGUGAACUAUGCUUGAAUAGGGUGAAGCCAGAGGAAACUCUGGUGGAGGCUCGCAGCGGUUCUGACGUGCAAAUCGAUCGUCAAAUUUGGGCAUAGGGGCGAAAGACUAAUCG
rnacentral:rRNA from 1 species